rnacentral:rRNA from 1 species
UACGGAGGGUGCGAGCGUUGUCCGGAAUCACUGGGCGUAAAGGGCGCGUAGGCGGUUUGUGAAGUCAGUGGUGAAAGCCCAGGGCUCAACUCUGGGUCUGCCACUGAUACUGGCGAGCUCGAGUUUGGUAGAGGCAGAUGGAAUUCCGGGUGUAGCGGUGGAAUGCGUAGAGAUCCGGAAGAACACCGGUGGCGAAGGCGGUCUGCUGGGCAGUUGCUGACGCUGAGGCGCGACAGCGUGGGGAGCAAACAGG